AGGGCGGGUUUAUUUGUGGUGGACAUGCGUCCUCCUGUCCUGGCCCUAAUACUCCAAAAUCACCACCAAACUAGUCUUGUAGCUAGUCCUUUGCUCUCAUCUUCCUCCUCUUUCUUUCCCCUCUAUCUCGCUCUUGCUCUAUCCAUUCGCCGGGCAGCAGAGAUCUCCACCCUUAUUACACACUACUGAGCUCAUCCAUCUAUCAGCUUGCUUGGCAUAUACCUCUUUCUCUUUCUCCCUUGUUGCCGGCGAUUACGAUCAAAAUUAAACUAGACACAUACAGCUGAUUGCAUCUGUACCAAGAGCGAGCGACCUGGCUAGCAAUUUAGUAGAGCAGGCCAGGUACUGAUUGUUGCUUGCCACUACUGCUAGAUCGAAGCAGCUAGCCUGUGCAGCAGCAGCAGGUUGAUCGUCGUCGAUGCUUGAGGUGUCGAGCCUUCGGAGCCCUAGCAAGGCGGCGGAUCAGCGCGGGUUCGUCGGCGACCAUGUCGGGUUCCCGACGUCCGCCGGCACCGACGACUUCAUGGUGGACGACAACCUGCUGGACUACAUCGACUUCAGCAGCUGCUGCGACAUGCCCUUCUUCGACGCCGACGGGGACAUCCUCCCCGACCUGGAGGUCGACCCCACCGAGUCGCUUCUCGCCGAGUUCUCCUCGCCGGAGACGAGCCCGGCGGCGGCAGACGGCGGCGGCGGCGCUGAGGCCAAGCCGCCGGACGAGAAGCAAGAACAAGUAGCGGCGAAGACAGCAGCAGCAGAAGAGACGAAGGCAGACGAUGACGAAAAAGCAGCAGCAGGAGGUGUAGUAGUGACGAGGAAGAGGAACGGGGAUGAGGUGACGACGACGGAGGAGGAUUCUGCCGGCGCCGGGGCCGGGUCCGACACCAAGUCGUCGGCGGCGGCGGGUGGCCACAGCAAGAAGAAGGCGUCGGCGGGCAAGGACUCCAACGGCAAGCGGAAGGUGAAGGUAGGACCUUAUCCACUACUUGCCCUAGCUAGAUAUGAUGUACAUAUAUAUACUACUAUGUCAAGAAGAGUAGAUGGAAUCGAGGUGCAAGGAUCGGAGUAUAUAGUAGUAAUAAUAAUAAUAGUAAUCUCCGCUAGCUAGCUGAUCUCUUCUCUUCAUUUGUUGGAAAGAAAGAAAAGAAAGAAAUCAAAUCUUGCAGAUCGAUAUAGAUGAUUCGAUCAGAUCUGACGCACAACACACAAGCAAAUAAAGUGGCUGGUACAGGCAUGCAUCGAUCACGGGAUGGAGCUGAGCUGAGCUAGCAUCCAUGGGAGGGAGACGUGGAUUUGGCUGGCCUGCACCCUGUAGCUGCAGGAGGCAAGUCACAGCUAGCCAUGGAUCACUCGCCCAGAUCAUCACAGCUACGAGCUAGCUGCUCUUGUUGCAUGAAAUAGAUAGCAGUAGGCUGCUGGGCGGCGGCCAAUGAAUCCCCGUGCAUGUGUUAUACCCUUUUCCCCCGGAUGAUAAUUGGCAGCAGCAGCAGCAUGCUGAAAUGAAAGAGCCAGAGGCAGAGGGGUGUCACGGGAUGGAUGGAUCUCAUAGUCAUCUCCCAGUCCCAACCCAACCAGCUGCUCGCAUAUACGUACCAAGGACAAACAGUAGCCUUGCUAUCUUUUUGACCCUUUCCCCGGCACAGGUUGCACAGCCUAUCUUGUC
rnacentral:lncRNA from 1 species